rnacentral:tRNA from 1 species
GGCAAGGUGGCCGAGCGGUCUAAGGUGAGCCCUCUUGUUUAUCGGCAGACUUGGAGCUUUGAACUAACCAAUCAACAGGCGCUGGAUUCGUAUGACUCACCAAUCAAACCCUCAGCCCGAUAAAGCUAACAGCCCCACAGAAGAGUUUCCUCUUAAGGUUAAAAUGCCUCCCAGUACGCAUAGCGUGCGCGAGUUCGAAUCUCGCCCUUGUCA